GACGAACGCUGGCGGCAUGCCUAACACAUGCAAGUCGAACGAGACGGUCGGGCCUAGGUGCGCAGGGGGGGGUAAGGCGGGGGAAGCUGCACUUGGGUUAGGAAUAACUCCCCGAGGGGGGUCCUAAUAACAGUGGGGGUAAUCGGACAAAAGAUCUAUGGCCGUUGGCUGGGGGCGGGUUGGUUUAGCCGGUUGGUAGGGUAAAAGCCGACCAUGGCGACGUUGCAUAGCUGGUCGGGGAGGAUGACAAUCCACACUGGGACUGCGACACGGCCCAGACUCCUACGGGAGGCAGCAGUGGGGAAUAUUGGACACUGGGCGAUAGCCUGAUCCAGCCAUGCCGCGUGUGUGAUGAAUGCCUUAGUGUUGUAAAGCCCUUUUACCCGGGAUGAUAAUGACGGUACCGGGUGAAUAAGCUCCGGCUAACUCCGUG
rnacentral:rRNA from 1 species